GACGAACGCUGGCGGCGUGCUUAACACAUGCAAGUCGAACGAAGUGGCGAACGGGUGAGUAACGCGUAAUCAACCUGCCCUUCAGAGGGGGAUAACAGUUGGAAACGACUGCUAAUACCGCAUACUGAAGGAGGGGAUUGCGUCGGAUUAGCUAGUUGGAGGGGUAACGGCCCACCAAGGCGAUGAUCAGUAGCCGGUCCUGGAGGAUGAACGGCCCCAUUGGGACUUGGAACCGGCCCCGGCUCCUACGGGAGGCAGCAGGUGGGAAUCUUCCGCAAUGGACGCAAGUCUGACGGAGCAACGCCGCGUGAGUGAUGAAGGCCUUCGGGUUGUAAAGCUCUUUUAAUCGGGACGCGGUACCGGAAUAGAAAGCCACGGCUAACUCCGUGCCAGCAGCCGCGGUAAUAC
rnacentral:rRNA from 1 species